CAGUAACUAAUAUUUUUACAAUCAACACGGAAGUGAUUUUAUUCUAUUAUUAUUAACUUAUCAAAAGUAAAAUUUGCAGUAUGACUCGAAUCAAAUGUUCUAUAAUUGUUCUAAAAUAACUAUGUAGACUAAACAACUAAGAAAACUCCCAAAAAUGGCAGAAGGAAUAAUAGUUUUCGGAUUAUGGUAUAUUUUUAUAGGAAUUUGCUAUUUAAGGGGCACAUUGCCAAUUGAAGAAAUGAGACGAGAGGAAUUUUUAAGAGACGGCGGACCAUUACCAAAUAACACAAAUGUCCCAAAUGACCCGAAACAACCACCAUCAUCAACACCACCUCCACCGCCACCAUCAUCUUCGUCACCAACUUCUCCACCACCAAAAUCUUGAAAUGACGAGGCACGUUAUUAAAUUUAUACAAAGCUGUCCGAAAUGUGGUGGUCUUACGAAAUAUGGUGGAUGUUUGUUAUUUUGUCCCGCGUCAGUAAUAGGGUUCUGCGACCUGCCGCUGCGUGCCUGAGAUUAAAACGAAAAAGCCUCCGACUAGCAACACAAAAUGAGCUGAAAUAGCGAUUAAAAGCGUGGAACUACUUAUGCCGUCAACCAGGAUGCCGUUGUUUAUACAGAGAAAUAAUAAAUGUAUUUAAUGAAUAA